rnacentral:misc_RNA from 1 species
UUGAUUGAUUUGUUUUCUUCUCAGACUGCUGUUCAUAUUCAGAGUUGGGGCCUCCGACGGGCGGAGGGCAGGCGUCUCGCAUGCGUCACGCGAGGCCGCCCACCCCGCUCAGAUCGCUGCUGGGCUCCUCAUCCCUCUCCCCUUUCGAAAAAGCGGGGAGAAAUGCACUGCGCCCCACAGACAACCCACGUCCGUCAAAGCAACGGGUGGAAAUACAAGGGUGGAGACCGUGAUUGCUCACAGAACUCGGUAAUGAUCCUUCCGCAGGUUCACCUACGGAAA